UAGGAUGUAGUAGAUUUAUGAUUGAGGGCUGGAACGGGUAGAUUACAUUGUACCGCCAAGCAUUUGUGACUGUGUGGAUAUAUAUUCAUUAUUUAUGUAUAUUUAGGUGUGUGUGAUACUUUGCAUGGUUUGAAAGAAUCUAUUCUGAAAGCCAGGAUCAUUUGUAACCUUUGUGUGUCAGUUCAAUGUAAUGUUGGGGCCUUUGAAAAGUUGAUUGAGAAAUUGGGGAUCAUUCCCAGUUCUCCGAUGUUACUUGUUUAGUCCUCUUUAGAAAGAAAGACACUUUUGGACCAGCUGUUUCGCUGUUUUGUUCUGUUUCCAUGAUAUUCUGUGAACCUCCAUGGCUUUAGAUACUGUGACUGUUAUUUUCCUUUUUGCCCAAAUUGUUGAUUCAGUCUAAAGAAUACUAUUUUUUGAUGCCUCUUACAAUUCAUGCAUGUGCACACUAUAGAUUGAUGCUACCUUUGCUAAAAAUGUCUUAAGAUAAAGAACUAGCUCUUUAGAACCUGCACUUCAAAGAUAAACCUGGAAGCUGUCCUGUGCCAAAAGUAAAGUGUACAAUGUUUACAGAUGGGUGGAAUUUUGCACUGCCAUAGGGAACGGUGAGCUCGCAUCACGGGGUUCCUUAGAUGUAUGGGUAGAUAGUUGCAGUUGAGCUUAUGAGAGGAACUGUGGAGCCCUCUAAGGCUAAGCUGCUAAUGAGUAUCCAAGACAGGUGGUUGGUGAACGUGACUCCCUAGACCUAGCUGGGGUCUUCUGUUGACAGCUCUUCAUGGUUUGCAGACACUAUAUGUUUUCUUUAGAGGAGCUGCCAGCUCUCCCCUCUUGUGAAAGACUGUCUUGUAGACAUUUUGAGAUCUUUUGAUGUAAUGUGCAAUCCCAAGUAAUGCCAUUAUUGGUGAAUGUAGCAUUGUUAAACUUUUAUUGUAAAUUAUCUCUGAUCUUACCUUGAUAGCCUUAGGGUUUUUUGUUUUUGUUUUUUUUUGUUAUGUUUUCAGAGACAGAGUCUCGCUAUUUGGUUUACCUAGAAUUUGCUUUAUGAUUAGGCUGUCCCCAAACUCACAGAUGUCUGCCUUUCUACCACCACGCCCAUGUAACUGAUGUUACCAAAAAUGAUCUCAUAUCCAUGGUGUUGCUUAUGUGUCUUUGCAUAGGCGCCUCCUUCAGUCCCAUCUAGGAGCACAGCACAGUAGAAGUCCAUUUCUUAAGUGGGCAGAGUCAGAGAUAAGCUAAGAGGGCAAGUAGUUGCUUCAGUGGUUUUUAGAGCUUGGCAAACGCUUUACUGAAGAUUAGCAUUGUGUUGUGACACUUGAGGGCCAAUACGAGCAUUUAAUUUGUUACCUAAAGGUGCUUUGUGUUCUUAAACAGCAAGUAUUUGAUGUGUGUAAACAUUUCCCUUCAUUCUCCCUCCCUCCUCACCGUUUUUAUGGUCUCCUAUUUCUGAGUUAGCUGCAUUUGGACAUUGCUUUUAUGCCAGAGGCCAUCUGUCACCUUGGAUGUUUAGAAGUACAGUGUACUUAUGUAGGGUCCUCCUUGAGCCUGUCCUGAGCAGUGUUGUGGUUACAGAAUUGCCUACGAGCUCCAACAGAGAGGUGGGGAAGCUGGGAGGGCACAGCUGUCUGGCUUCCUUUGUGGAGGUGUUGGUUUGUUUGAACACUAAGGAAUUUGAGGUUAAUCUUCCCCCUCUUCCUGCCCAUAGUUUUCACUUCCCUUUCAGUAAGAACGACCCCCUAAAAGAAAACAGGAGGAGAUGCAGCGCUUUAGGCCGCCUUAGCCAGCAGCUUGUGUCCUACUCUGGAAGUUGUAACCUACAGUUUUUCUCACCUGUAAAGCCAACACACACAGCUACCCGUUUCUACCUCAGUUUGAUGUGGCGACUAUGGAGGAACAACUCUUAAAAGCUCUGACUGCCUUGAAGAUGGAGGAAGCUAGUGGUCUUGGUCGACUGUGCUCUGAGGUUUAUAUUGAGAAUCCUUUAUUCUGGAAGUGAGUGCGGUUCUCCUGACCGCCUGCUCAGUAGAACCUGUGUUGCCUGCUUUAAGUCUCUGCCCACCUGCCUGUCCUUUCCUUGACACUAGGCUCUUGAUUAGGAAGAGUUGUCUCCAGAUGCUUUGAGAAGCACAUGUAAAUCUAGAUAGCACAUUCUACCCUGAUGGAACUUCCUUGCUUGUCUUGCUGUAUAGGAAUUCAUUCUGUAUACACUUGAGUGGGUGGCAUGAGAUGCUCGACUUGUGUGUCGAGAGGCAGUGUCAUGACAUUCCCAGUCUGGUACUUGCCAGUGCAGAAGCAAAUGAGGGGUAAUAAACUGAGAAGAAGGGCAGCUUACUAACGAGGCCAGAGGGAAAUGUUUCCGUGUGUCCUUAUGUAACUUUUUACAGUGCCACUAAGUUAAUAGCCCUGUACAUGGGUGUUUGCACUAUGUAAUGCUUUUAAUGCGGUUUUAUUGUGUUUUUGUGUGAUUAAACAGUUUUCAUUUCA
rnacentral:lncRNA from 1 species